UACGUAGGGUGCGAGCGUUGUCCGGAAUUACUGGGCGUAAAGAGCUCGUAGGUGGUUUGUCGCGUUGUUCGUGAAAACUCACAGCUUAACUGUGGGCGUGCGGGCGAUACGGGCAGACUGGAGUACUGCAGGGGAGACUGGAAUUCCUGGUGUAGCGGUGGAAUGCGCAGAUAUCAGGAGGAACACCAAUAGCGAAGGCAGCUCGCUGGGACGUUACUGACACUAAGGCGCGAAAGCGUGGGGAGCGAACAGG
rnacentral:rRNA from 1 species